rnacentral:rRNA from 1 species
GUGUCAGCCUCCGCGGUAAUACGUAGGUGGCAAGCGUUGUCCGGAUUUACUGGGCGUAAAGCGCCCGCAGGCGGCCUGCUAAGUUUCAGGUGAAAUCUCCCGGCUUAACCGGGAUGGGUCCUGGAAAACUGACAGGCUUGAGGCAGAGAGAGGGAUGUGGAAUUCCCGGUGUAGUAGUGAAAUGCGUAGAUAUCGGGAGGAACACCAGUGGCGAAGGCGGCAUCCUGGCUCUGUCCUGACGCUCAGGGGCGAAAGCGUGGGGAGCAAACCGGAUUAGAUACCCGGGUAGUCC